CUACGGGAGGCAGCAGUGGGGAAUAUUGCACAAUGGGGGAAACCCUGAUGCAGCAACGCCGCGUGAAGGAAGAAGUAUUUCGGUAUGUAAACUUCUAUCGACAGGGAAGAAAAAAAUGACGGUACCUGAAUAAGAAGCACCGGCUAAAUACGUGCCAGCAGCCGC
rnacentral:rRNA from 1 species